UGCAGCCUUGUCAAAUUCAGUGCUUCCCCCUUUCUGGAAGCCACUGGCCAAGAUGGCUGCCACAGUAACACUGCAGUUUAUGGGCCCCACGGUGCUCCAAUAUGGCCGCCGGGGAUAAAUAUGUGCUGCACACAGAU